rnacentral:rRNA from 1 species
UACGAGGGGGGCGAGCGUUGUUCGGAAUUAUUGGGCGUAAAGGGUGCGUAGGCGGUUUGGUAAGUCUUAUGUGAAAUCUAUGGGCUCAACUCAUAGUCUGCAUGAGAAACUGCCGGGCUUGAGUAUGGGAGAGGUGAGUGGAAUUCCUGGUGUAGCGGUGAAAUGCGCAGAUAUCGGGAGGAACACCAGUAGCGAAGGCGGCACUCUGGGCCGUGACUGACGCUGAGGAGCGAAAGCGUGGGUAGCAAACAGG